rnacentral:lncRNA from 1 species
AUGCAAAAAAGCAAAAUGGCUGUCUGGGGAGGCCUUACAAAUAGCUGUGAAAAGAAGAGAAACAAAAGCAAAGGAGAAAAGGAAAGAUAUAAGCACCUGAAUGCAGAGUUCCAAAGAAUAGCAAGGAGAGAUAAGAAAGCCUUCCUCAGCGAUGAAUGCAAAGAAAUAGAGGAAAACAACAGAAUGGGAAAGACUAGAGAUCUCUUCAAGAAAACUGGAGAUACAAAGGGAAUAUUUCAUGCAAAGAUGGGCUCGAUAAAGGACAGAAAUGGUAUGGACCUAACAGAAGCAGAAGAGAUUAACAAGAGGUGGCAAGAAUACACGGAAGAACUGUACAAAAAAGAGCUUCAUGACCCAGAUAAUCAUGAUGGUGUGAUCACUCACCUAGAGCCAGCCAUCCUGGAAUGUGAAGUCAAGUGGUCCUUAGAAAGCAUCACUACGAACAAAGCUAGUGGAGGUGACGGAAUUCCAGUUGAGCUAUUUCAAAUCCUGAAAGAUGAUGCUGUGAAAGUGCUGCACACAAUAUGCCAGCAAAUUUGGAAAACUCAGCAGUGGCCGCAGGACUGGAAAAAGUCAGUUUUCAUUCCAAUCCCAAAGAAAGGCAAUGCCAAAGAAUGCUCAAACUACCACACAAUUGCACUCAUCUCACACGCUAGUAAAGUAAUGUUCAAAAUUCUCCAAGCUAGGCUUCAGCAGUAUGUGAACUGUGAACUUGCAGAUGUUCAAGCUGGUUUCAGAAAAGGCAGAGGAACCAGAGAUCAAAUUGCCAACAUCUGCUGGAUCAUCGAAAAAGCAAGAGAGUUCCAGAAAAGCAUCUAUUUCUGCUUUAUUGACUAUGCCAAAGCCUUUGACUGUCUGGAUCACAAUAAAUUGUGGAAAAUUCUGAAAGAGAUGGGACUACCAGACCACCUGACCUGCCUCUUGAGAAACCUAUAUGCAGGUCAGGAAGCAACAGUUAGAACUGGACAUGGAACAACAGACUGGUUCCAAAUAGGAAAAGGAGUACAUCAAGGCUGUAUAUUGUCUCCUUGCUUAUUUAAUUUAUAUGCAGAGUACAUCAUAAGAAAUGCUGGGCUGGAAGAAGCGCAAGCUGGAAUCAAGAUUGCUGGGAGAAAUAUCAAUAACCUCAGAUAUGUGGAUGACACCACCAUUAUGGCAGAAAGUGAAGAGGAACUAAAAAGCCUCUUGAUGAAAGUGAAAGAGGAGAGUGAAAAAGCUGGCCUAAAGCUCAACAUUCAGAAAACUAAGAUCAUGGCAUCUGGUCCCAUCACUUCAUGGGAAAUAGAUGGGGAAACAGUGUCAGACUUUAUUUUUUGGGGCUCCAAAAUCACUGCAGAUGGUGACUGCAGCCAUGAAAUUAAAAGACGCUUACUCCUUGGGAGGAAAGUUAUGACCAACCUAGAUAGCAUAUUGAAAACCAGAGAUAUUACUUUGCCAACAAAGGUCCGUCUAGUUAAGGCUAUGGUUUUUCCAGUGGUCAUGUAUGGAUGUGAAAGUUGGACUGUGAAGAAAGCUGAGCACCGAAGAAUUGAUGUUUUUGAACUGUGGUGUUGGAGGAGACUCUUGAGAGUCCCUUGGACUUCAAGGAGAUCCAACUAA